UACGUAGGCAGCAAGCGUUGUUCGGAGUUACUGGGCGUAAAGGGUGUGUAGGCGGUUGUUUAAGUUUGGUGUGAAAUCUCCCGGCUCAACUGGGAGGGUGCGCCGAAUACUGAAUGACUAGAGUGCGGGAGAGGAAAGUGGAAUUCCUGGUGUAGCGGUGAAAUGCGUAGAUAAUCAGGAGGAACACCGGUGGUGUAGACGGCUUCUGGACCGUAACUGACGCUGAGACACGAAGCGUGGGUAGCAAACAGG
rnacentral:rRNA from 1 species